rnacentral:rRNA from 1 species
AUGAACGCUGGCGGCGUGCCUAAUACCUGCCAGUCGAGCGCACAGAUGAGGAGCUUGCUCCUCUGACGUUAGCGGCGGACGGGUGAGUAACACGUGGAUAACCUACCUAUAAGACUGGGAUAACUUCGGGAAACCGGAGCUAAUACCGGAUAAUAUAUUGAACCGCAUGGUUCAAUAGUGAAAGACGGUUUUGCUGUCACUUAUAGAUGGAUCCGCGCCGCAUUAGCUAGUUGGUAAGGUAACGGCUUACCAAGGCAACGAUGCGUAGCCGACCUGAGAGGGUGAUCGGCCACACUGGAACUGAGACACGGUCCAGACUCCUACGGGAGGCAGCAGUAGGGAAUCUUCCGCAAUGGGCGAAAGCCUGACGGAGCAACGCCGCGUGAGUGAUGAAGGUCUUCGGAUCGUAAAACUCUGUUAUUAGGGAAGAACAAAUGUGUAAGUAACUAUGCACGUCUUGACGGUACCUAAUCAGAAAGCCACGGCUAACUACGUG